rnacentral:rRNA from 1 species
UACAGAGGGGGCAAGCGUUGUUCGGAAUUACUGGGCGUAAAGGGCGCGUAGGCGGCCUGCUAAGUCGAACGUGAAAUCCCUGGGCUCAACCCAGGAACUGCGUCCGAUACUGGUUGGCUUGAAUCCGGGAGAGGGACGUGGAAUUCCAGGUGUAGCGGUGAAAUGCGUAGAUAUGACAUAGAACACCAAUUGCGAAGGCAGCUCGCUACACGAAUAUUGACUCUGAGGCACGAAAGCGUGGGGAUCAAACAGG